AUUGAACGCUGGCGGCAGGCCUAACACAUGCAAGUCGAGCGGAUGAAGGGAGCUUGCUCCUGGAUUCAGCGGCGGACGGGUGAGUAAUGCCUAGGAAUCUGCCUGGUAGUGGGGGAUAACGUCCGGAAACGGGCGCUAAUACCGCAUACGUCCUGAGGGAGAAAGUGGGGGAUCUUCGGACCUCACGCUAUCAGGUGAGCCUAGGUCGGAUUAGCUAGUUGGUGGGGUAAAGGCCUACCAAGGCGACGAUCCGUAACUGGUCUGAGAGGAUGAUCAGUCACACUGGAACUGAGACACGGUCCAGACUCCUACGGGAGGCAGCAGUGGGGAAUAUUGGACAAUGGGCGAAAGCCUGAUCCAGCCAUGCCGCGUGUGUGAAGAAGGUCUUCGGAUUGUAAAGCACUUUAAGUUGGGAGGAAGGGCAGUAAGUUAAUACCUUGCUGUUUUGACGUUACCAACAGAAUAAGCACCGGCUAACUUCGU
rnacentral:rRNA from 1 species